rnacentral:lncRNA from 1 species
GCGCUUAGUCUUGGGGGACCCUGGAGUGAGGAGAAUGAAUACCGCCCCUGCCCUUAUGGAACAGCAGUGGGGAGCGCCUGUGGAAUAGGGGAGUGAGAUGGAUUAUAGAAGUCUUGGGGGAAAUCCAAGAAGGUUCAAAGUGAGGGCCGUGUUCAGAAAAAGUUUGCCAACUCCUGCUCUAGAUUGAUGGUUACAAAGUCUGACAGAGGAUACAGUUACAGGGACAUGGCAAAGCCAGAAAAACGAGGACCGGGAGUCCAGCUUUCAACAAAGCCAAUCUAUUCAAUCUCCAGACUACCCUUUGUACCAAGGAAGUCACGGGGUGACUCCAAGCAGGGCCCCCUUUGCAUUCAGCCUGCCCUUCUCUCAGCCCAGAUAAGAGACUGGAGACACAGAGAGGCUCCAGAACUUACCCAAGGUCACACAGCUUCUAAAUGGGUGUUGUUGGAACCUACUUUCAGAGACCUGAUUCCAAAACCCUCACUGAUACUUUCCGUGAGUCCAGAUGAAGAGAGGGCUUCAAGGAAAAUCCAUUCAGUGCCAGGAUGCUACCAGCUCCCUGGGGCAUGGGACUGCCAUCCUCUCCUAGGCGUCU